AACCUACAAUAAACUUUUUGUUUUCCUUUGGAGAUUAUUUUUAAUAGAGAAUAGGGCGGACUCAUAGCUAAAGCCCAUGAAGCAAAGACUUUAGGCAGCAAUAGUUAUAACUAGUUUUAAGGACAUUAUCUUUAAAAAAACGUUACCGAAGUCUAGUAGUCUGUCCGAACUUUUUUAAUGUCUAGGCAGGUCACAGUUUCUAUUCCCAUUAUUGUUAAAACUUAUAUUUUUUUUUAUUUUUUUGACAGUUUUUGUUAAUGGGCCAAACUUUUUUUGCUUUAGGCAUCCAAAGAGUUUGGGCCGGCCCUGCUUGAGAUUGUGAUGUAUAUCAGUAUAUACAACAGCCAAAUCGGACCAACCUGUAAAAGCCGCCGCGCAUAGCUACCUUCCAUGAUACGGGCAAAAGAAGAUGCAUGAGAGUAAUAAUUGCCUUCGAAACGGUCAUAUAUAUCUGGAUGUGCAUCAAGAUGAAGAAUAUCCACGGGUCCUCCCAGUUUCUCCGAAACCGCUCUCACAACAGGAUAAGAUAUGGAAUGGUCUCCUCCUAUGACUAGCGGGCGCAAUGGUUCCUGACACAACAAACAAAACUUAGUUACUUCAUUGGCCUUAAAUAAGAAAUUUCUUGACCUCAAACACUAAGGUGUGGAUGUCGGAUUCACACACUCAAGUAUUUUGUUUAAGUGGGAAAGAUUAUUCUUGAGGGACAAAAAUGAAUAUGUAAAAACUUAUAAAUUGAUACGAAAACUGCUAUAGUAUUUCUCUCUUGAGAGGAAGAUCCCCUUUACAUGGCCAUUGGCCUCUAUAUUUAUACACCGAUAAACGACAUUAAAAUGAGUAAUUAAGCACAAUUAUUUCUUCUUAAAUGUGUCCGUUUUGAUUCUUCGGCUUUAAUGCUCAACGUUUGAAUUUGAGUUGACUCUGAUCUUCAUGGGCCUCGCCUCUUUCGGCCCAAGUGUCCUUGAACCGACUUACCCGUGUCUUCUACACCGAACUCGUGUCACAGUGCAGUCACUUCGGAUUCUCGAAAUGGUGACAACCACUUCGACCGUUCCUUCGGCUCACGGGUCCAAUGGGCUUCAUCCUUUAUGGGCCAUUAUCUUGAUCACGUGGCAAUCUUUGGUUGGUCUCGUACUUCUGGUGCGGGAUCCGACACCAACAAUUAGCCCCCCAAGUUCUUCGAAGUGCUAUUCCAGUUCGGAGGACUUUAAAUGCUCAAGUGGCCAAAGAUUGCGCUCGAGAAUCUUUCUGAUUUCCCGCCAAAAAUCUCAUCACUCCUUUAAUUUUGGCACUAUCCAUUUUUAACCGAGUGACAUCUGUCAUCAUUAUGACCGUAUAUUGGUUAAUUACUAUUAAAACGGGAAAAACCUUCCCACUUCCCACACGACUUCCGAGGCGGUUUCAUCAUUAGCUUGAGGUAACUUCUUUUCACCAUUACUCUCUUCUUUUUACUUUUGUACUUUAAUCAAAAAACCUCUCUCUUCGUUCUUUCACCAAAACCCUUCUUCGCCGGAUCUUGAAUUUUUCUAUCUUCCCAAUGGCUUCCGAUUUCGAUAGACCCGAGUCUCCGUCUUUCGAUGAGAGGCGUUCUAGCAAUGACGAGUGCACCCGCUCUGAUGAUAUUGCCGGUCCGCACUAUAGGUCCACUUGUACUCUUCAAUCCCUCGAGCGGUUGAAAGAGCUUUGCCGGAUUCCGCCGGAAAUUAUGGCGGAAGCUCAAAUAGCUUCCCCCACAGAAUCCCCAGAGAACCAUCGCGAUGGUUACUUCUGUGUGUACGAGAUUUAUUUCAAGGGUUGCGGGCUGUCCUUUCCUCUUCCCGAAGCCCUAGUUCUAUACCUAGCGGCUCUUGAAAUCGCUCUUCCUCAAUUAACCCCCAAUCUUCUCCGUACUAUUCUUGGAAUUAUAACAAUCGCGGCGGAGGCCGGUUAUGUUAUCGGAGUUGCUGAACUAAAUGAGCUUCUGAGCGUGAGAAGUUCAUCGAAGAAAACGGGAUAUUUCUCAGCAUAUCCUAAUCCCAACAGGAACAUCAUUUCACAUCUUCCGAACAAGGAUGAAAAUUGGCAUCAUCCUUGGUUUCUAAUUAAGAAAACCCCCGCUUCGAUUGGAAAUCUCGCUGAUUUUCUCCCUUCGAAGUGGUCUGCGAAACCCGGUAGUGAUUAGGUUGCCCGUAUCUUUCCCGGUUGUUUCUUUAUCUUUAUUGACUAACACCGUUGUUUCAUUUCGCAGCUUUCAUCGCUUCCAACCUCCCAUCUGAAGAGUUCAUCGAAUUCUUCAAAAUAAUUCUUGAAGGGGAAACCCUUUGGAAUUCCUUCACUCUUGAACGAUUCCUGGAAGCUAACCACAGACUCAGGAUGAGUCCGCCUGGUCAUCUUCACCAAAUUCCUCCCCCUCCUUCAACUCAAGGAAUGUCAUCUCGGGCCCUUGCGGCCAAGCGUAAGUUGCUUUCCAAGCCGAUGGCUGAGGCUUGCGAGGAGAAGAAAAAGUUCCUCGCGACUUCUAUAGACAAGAAGGACUACAGUAGAACCUUGCUGGUUGAUGAUGGCAGCACCGAGGGAGCUCGAUCUGUCGCUUUCUUCAGAUUAACUCCUCGUCGCGAUCAUCGCGACUCACGUUCUCCUCGGAGGGUUCAAUCUCCUCGCCGUGAUUCACCUCGUCCUCCCCGAGAUGAUUUUAGUAACGAGCCAAUUAAGAACUUGGUUCGCCGGAAGAGAGACAAGUCCUCUCGCAGCGAUUCUUCUCCGCAGAGGGAAAAGUCGAGGGCCCGGACUGACCGCUCACCUCGAUCAUCUCCUCCUCUUGAACCAAUGGGUCCUCCACGUCCGGUUGAUAUGUCUUCCUCCUCCCAGCCUGAUAGUGGAAAGACUGCCCGGAGUGCGUCUCCGAAAAAGGGAGAUUCUGAAUCUCGAGAUGCUUCCUCGAGGUUAAAACCUGCUCUUGUCCCUCAAGUCAAAUCGCUUUCAGGUUUGGUGAUUUACAUACUUCAACUUUUUGUCUUUAUUAAAAUUCCAAUUUUUACAACUCUUCCUUCUUCGCAGCUAUGGAGAAAGAGGGCAGCGUCUUCCGAUGCUUCAAGACCCGAUCGGGCUCGAUCCUGCCAGACUUCGACAAAUGGCGCCCUGCGAUUCGUGAACGCUAUUUGCUUCACGCGCAUCACUCAUCUCGGGUUAGUUCCAUUUUUUUUUUUUUUUUUUUUUUUUUUUUUUUUUGCAUUGCCAUUCUGCGAACUGACUCACCAUCCCUGGUUCAUGUAUAAUGCCAGGCUCAGAGCGAAUUUAACGACAUGAUCGAACAUUACGAAGGGUUGGUCAUUGGACGGGAGAAGGAGAUUGACAUGUGGAAGAAGAAAUUCUCAGCUCUUGAGGCUGACCUCAACUCUUCUGCUGGCUCUAAGCACGAUCUGGAGGAUAAGGUCGAUAGGUUGACGUCAGAGUUGGCGCAGGUAAAGGGGGAACUGCAAGACUACUAUGACCAGAAUUACAAACUCCAGGACGAACUGUCUGGUGUUCAGGGUAGACUUCACGAAUCCGAAUCAACCGCCGACACCCUGAACAACCAACUUAUCGAGCUUGACGCGAAGUACAAGGCGCUAGCCAAGUUGCGUGAUUCUGAGUUGGCAAGGUCGGCAUCGAAGGCCAGAAAGGAGGUUAAGGGACGCGGGAUGGAAUUGAUCCAAGGGGCCAUUCGCUUCAUGCAAACCGAGAAAGCUAGGUCGGACUUGGAGUCAGACAUCAAGGAGCACGAAAGCAACUUGAUUCUGCUGGACCAAAUCCAUGAAGCAGAUUUCUCCGAGGAGCAAGAAAGGACCGAGCUGUCGACUAACCUUUCUGAGAAACGGAGUCGCUUAGCAGCUCUUCCCACUUCGAUCUUCAACCCGCUUGACUUCGAGGCAUUCUUUACUGAAUCACCUCCUAUCAGUGAAUCGGGUUUAGACUGGGCAGGUAACGCUUGGCUCCUGUGGCUUACCUUUUUCUUACCUUGUACCUUUGAUUGACUGGAAUCAUUAUUUCUAGGUUCAAGUGAGACGGAAGACGUUGUCCCGCCCGCAGCUCCAAUGGUACCAGAGGUCACUCCGGAGGUUGGUUGUACCGCGGAGGGUGGUCAAGGAGCUUCAUCUGAUCAAGCAGCUGCCAAGGACGCGAAUGAAGCUUCGAUUGUUGAGCCGGAUUCCGAGGUGGCUGCUGCUCCGUAGUGGCUGUGUCCACUUUAAAUUGGGGAUUGUCCCUUUAUCUUUAAGACUUAAUUUAUUUUUGGCCUAAGGAGGUUUUAUUGUUUCUUUUGAACAAGAUAUUUGCCUGAGGAGGCUUUUAAACCUUUCUAGGUUGUGACCCAAGGGGGUUUAGUUAAAAUUAUAUGCGGGUUUGCAAAGUCCGCUUUUAACCUUUUGUGGCCUUGUGGCAAUGCUUUCGAGAUUUUUAGGCUGAUCAGACCUUUCUCUUUAAAAUGCGAGAGCUGAGCUCGGCUUAAAGCGAGUUCCCCACUUCGAGUUUAGUCAACUCGGUAAACUUGUUGGGCUUGGGCCUUAGAAACUUUUACAGUUAAUGCGACGGUUGCUCUUUCCCUUCUUAAAGAAAACGGCUCGUCUUUUAAUGCAAUAAUUGCCUUUUCUCGAUUUUCCAAAAAUGGUUUAACCCACUCGGAAACGCUACCAUUAAUGGAUUUAUGGUUUCAAGACAAACCCUAAAUCAUUAUAAAUAAAGGCUUACCUACCUCUUAGGCUUUAUUAAACAUGACUAUAGAAUCUCACUUGAGAAAUAUUUUAAGAAUGGAAAACGAAGAAGUAGCCCCCAUCAAUCCCGGCAGCCCACUUUUCUUGUCCGGCGACGGCUUUGAACCGGCCGGCGUUCUCUUCCCUCACGCCGUCUUUCACUUUCCUCCGAAGGAGAAGAAAGAGGCUUGCGAUUUUAUCGACAAGGUAAAUAUUAAAGUUUUUGAUUUAAAACUUCUUGUUUUGCCUUAUUCACUCAUUUUUAUGCUAGGUCGCCGACAAGCACCGUCGCCUGUGUGAAGAGAGGCAGCGGCUGGGACUCAAAAGGCAGACGCUCGAGGCUCGUAUCGCUCGGGUGGAAAGGAAGAUACGGGCUUUGGAGAGUGAUCCCUUUCAGUGGGAGUGGCGGAACUUCGAUUCCGUUGCUGAGAUCCCGAAGAUGCUUCGGAUGUAUCUCCGUGCUAGAGGAGUCCCGGGUCCCGUGAAUGCCCCUGUCUUCGCCGUUCCAUCCGACAAUGAAGAGGAAGAGGACUUGGAGGAGGAGGCCAGCAACUGCCGGGAACGCGUUCACGAUCGUUCCGAAGUGGAUGCCAAAAACAAGGCGUCCACUUCGAAAACUAAACCGGCGAUGAAGGAGCCUGUUCCUGAGCCUCUCCCAUAAAUGUUCCUUAAUUUCUUCACUUCUUCUCUCUUUUUUUUUUUUUAAAACUCGUAAUGGGCUUCGGCCCUUUUUAAUUUUAUGGAAAUAUUUGCUACUUUCCUUUUUUUCCAAAUAUUCUUGGAGAUGCAUCUUUUAAUGCAGGAUCUGUUCGAGGGCAUGAAUCUCUCCGCGAAUUACUCCAUUCCUUGGAUGGAAUCCGCAGCUUGCUAAGGAUAUGGGGUUCCUAUAAAUUAUAGGUUCAAUUUCCCUUUACUUCUCACCCUUCUUUUUUUUAUUUUAGCAGGUAUGGAGUUCAAUCUACGCUGUUCAGAAUCUAUGCCUGACUUCUCCACAAUCGGAAUGAUGAACGAAGAUGUUCCAAAUGAGCCCAACAGGCAGACUCCUCCACUUCGCGGCUUCUUGAGAUCUCAAAUCCGAGCCCCAUGUGCUUUGAUCAGGGAUCUCCCAAUCAGAGACCAAGGAACGGCGACGGCGUUCAUAGAGGCGCUCGAACUUCAACACCGGAAGCUUAUGUCGGAAAAGAGGAGACUUCGGAAGAGGAUUAACCGGAUGCAACGCAGGCUUACUACGGUGUCAAGAGAUCUUCACAUCCUUGAAUCUCACCCCGGAGAGUGGAUUGAACUUGGAAUUUCAGACUUUGCUCGAAUUCCGGAAUGCAUGAUGCCAAUCCUCGAUCUUGCUGGUCAAGGAGUUGAAGUGUUCUGCUCGUCAACAAGGUUUUUGUAGUUCGAAGUGUACGAUGUGGGACACUUCGUCUUUUUUUUUUUUUUUUGAACAAACGCUUUAUUUUCAAUCUCUUGUAUGUUCGCAUAGCCGAACCUUCUUCCUUUAAUAAAGAAAUAAAACAAAAAUUUUAUUAAUAGCUGAACUCGUUUUCGAGCUGCCUACGUACCCAUUUCGGGAUCAAGCCAAAUCGUAGUUCAUGUACAUAAACAAUGCAUGUAGGUUUUAAACAUAAAACUUCUUUAGGUUGAUCACAUUCCAAGGUCGCUUGACCGGAUUGUCUUCUAAGUCUUUCAACCUAUAAACACCGUUCCGAACCACUGCGGUAAUGAUGUAAGGUCCUUCCCAAUUAAUACCGAGUUUGCCGGCACCUUCUUCUUUUUUGUUGUCAAAGACGCGCCUUAAUACAUAAUCUCCCACGAAGAAAGGCCUGCUUUUAACCUUAGAAUUGUAAUACCGGGCUGCUGCCUGCUGGUAAUUCUGGAUCCGAAUUAGAGCUUGAUCACGCCUUUCAUUUAUGGUAUCUAGUGAAUCAUUAAGCAUUGCUGAAUUUUCUUCCUCAUUUAACGGUGCUUCUGUUCGACGAAGUCCGGGCACAUUGAGUUCAGCUGGUACUACCGCCUCCAUGCCAUAAACCAAAGAGAAUGGAGUUUCUCCUGUAGGUCGCCUAGGGGUUGUACGAUAGGCCCACAGGACGGGUUGGAGUUCUUCAUACCAUCCUCCCUUUAGAUGACUUAAGCGCUUCUUGAGAUUGCUUAAUAUUGUCUUGUUCGCGGCUUCGGCUUGACCGUUUCCUUGCGGGUAUCGUGGAGUAGAAUAACUAACUUUAAUUCCCCAGUCCAUACAAAAGGCAUCAAACUCGUGUGAAAUGAAUUGCGGUCCAUUAUCAGUGACUAUUUCGUACGGAACUCCAUGUCGACAUAUAAUGUUUUUCCAAAUAAAGGUCUUCACCGCCGAAUCCUUUAUACCAACAUACGCUUCAGCUUCAAUCCAUUUCGAAAAGUAGUCCGUAAGGACUAAAAGGUACUGUACACCUCGAGUUGAUUUGUGCAAUGGUCCAAUGAUGUCCAUUGACCACCUCAUAAACGGGUAUGGGGCGGAAAUGGAGGAGAAUAACUCCGACGGUUGAUGGAUUAAUGGUGCAUGGAGUUGGCAGCGCUUGCAUCUUUGGGCAAACUUAACACAAUCUGUGAUCAUAGUGGGCCAAAAGUACCCCAUUCUUUUAACUUUAAAAGCCAUAGCUCUUCCUGAUGAAUGACUUCCACAUAAUCCUUCAUGCACUUCGCUCAUGACGAUUUCGACUUCGGACCCGAAAAUGCAUAAUAGGUAAGGGUCACUAACACCUCGUCUAUAUAACGCAUUUUUUGAUAGACAAAAUUUCGCGCUAACGACUUUCAUUUUCCUGGCCUGCCAUUUAUUCUUUGGGAGCUCGCCUGUCGUGAUGUAGUGCUUUAUUGGCUCCCUCCAGUCAGCCCCCCAGUCUUUAGCCGGAAUUUGGUCAACUUUGUGAAAUAUCCGUGGCUCUGGUUCGGGAUGUUCGUUUGGUUCAAGAAUAUUCUCCUCGAGUAAUGGCUCGGUCUCUAACAUCGUUUCUGGAAUCAUUUCUUCAGCUAAGACAACGGGUUCCUUGUUAGAUGUAUUUGAUCCCUUUGACUUCCUUCGUUUGUUGGGUGGCGGUUCGAUCUCUGGUUCGCCACGGUCGCGUGCCGCUGCUCGAGACCUUGUAACGACGAGGGUUUCCUUGCUGUCUUGAAUGCUUCGCUCCGAGAUGCAUUCUACUGGAAUAACUCUUUUUAACUCAGGAUCUGAUGUUGACGCCAAUGCGGCAAGUGCAUCUGCAGUUGUAUUCUCUCCCCGAGGUAUACGGAUUAAUUCAAAUUUCGAGAAAUUUUUAGAUAGAUCCUUCACCACUUCGAGGUAUGCUUCCAUUCUUGAAUCUUUGGCCUCAUAGUCUCCAUUAAAUUGGUUAACUACUAAUUGCGAAUCGCAAUAAGCCAAUAUUUCCUUAGCUCCAACUCCUUGUGCUAGUCGAAGUCCGGCAAUAAGGGCUUCGUAUUCUGCCUCGUUGUUGGAGGCAUUGAAUAACAAUCGGAAUGAUUGUUCUAGAAUUUCUGAUGUUGGAGAUUCCAACUUGAUUCCCACCCCGGAUCCUUGUUUUGUUGAAGACCCGUCUACGUGUAAUUUCCAAGUUUGGUUCUCCGGUUGCUCUAUCGUUCCAGGUAUUGGUAGUUCGGUCAGGAAGUCUGCUAAGACCUGAGCCUUCAUACUGAUCCGGCUUUUGAACUCUAUGUCGUACUCGCUUAAUUCCACCGCCCAUUUCGCCAAACGUCCGGACUGACUUAGACUAUGAAGUAUUGUUCGGAGUGGUUGGUUAGUUAAUACUUCAACCGGAUGGGAUUGAAAAUAUGGACGCAGCUUCCGAGCCGAAGUUACCACCGCGAGUGCGAGUUUUUCCAUCAUUGUGUACCUGGUUUCCGGAUCCGUCAUUGACUUGCUCACGUAGUAAAUUGGAUUCUGCUCUCCACGGUCUUCCCGAACCAAGACUCCACUAACCGCGUGGUUUGAAACUGAUACGUACAAGUAAAGUUUUUUAUCCACUUCUGGUUUGGACAGUAUUGGUGGAGUGGUUAAGUAUGCCUUAAGCUGCCCAAAAGCUUCUUCACACUUCUCAUCCCAAAGGAAUCCUUUGUUCCCUUUUAGAAUUUGGUAGAAAGGCAACGACUUAUCUGUUGAUCUCGAGAUAAAACGGUUCAAAGCCGCAAUCCGCCCAGUCAACCGUUGUACUUCUUUGAAGUUUCUUGGAGAUGGCAUGUUUAGAAAGGCGUUAAUUUGAUUUGGAUUGGCUUCAAUCCCUCUUUCUGUCACGAUAUAGCCAAGAAAUUCUCCGGAUGGGACUCCAAAUGUGCACUUUGCCGGGUUCAGCUUCAUUUGAUAUUUAUUGAGAAUAUCAAAACAUUCCUCCAAAUGUUUAACAUGAUCUUCUUUCUUCAAGGAUUUAACCAACAUAUCAUCUAUGUAGACUUCCAUAGUCUUCCCGAGGUGAUUGUGAAACAUUUUGUUCACCAACCGUUGGUAAGUUGCUCCUGCAUUUUUUAAACCAAAAGGCAUUACCUUGUAACAGUAGAUACCUCUAUCUGUGAUAAAUGACGUCUUUUCUUGAUCUUUGGGGUUCAUCAUUAUCUGAUUAUAACCCGAGAAGGCGUCCAUGAACGUUAACAGCUCAUUUCCAGCGGUGGACUCUACAAGUCGAUCUAUAUGCGGGAGCGGGAAACUAUCUUUAGGACAUGCUUUAUUCAGGUCUGUAAAAUCGAUGCAAACCCUAUCUUUCCCGUUCUUUUUCUUGACAACGACAGUGUUUGCUACCCACUCCGGAUAUUGCACUUCUCUUAUGGACCCUAUCUUCAAAAGUUUAUCCACUUCGUCGUUUACUAUUUUUGCCCGCUCCAUUCCUAGCUUUCUUCUUUUUUGUUUUACCGGUUUGAAGCUUGGAUCCACGUUUAGUUCAUGACAAAUUAUACUCGGAUUUAUACCAGGCAUGUCCGCUGCUGACCAUGCAAAUGAUGCUUUGUUUUUCCUUAAGAGUUCGAUCAAAGCUUCUUUUAUUUGGCCAGUCAAAGUUGCUCCAAUUCGAAUUUUCUGGUCCGGCUUGUCUUCUUCCAAUACCACUUCGAUUACUACAUCAUCUUUCUUCUGCCCGCUAGGAAAUUUUGUUCUUAGUCCUUCUUUUACGGGCUUCGUUAGUUGCUAUUGAAUCUUCAUACGGUGGCUAGCUAGGUAGCACGUCCGUGAAGCUUCUUGAUCUCCCCGAAUUGUUUCCACCCCAUUUGAUGUUGGAAAUUUGAUACAUUGAUGGUAUGUAGAGGGGACUGCUUUCAUCCGAUAAAUCCAGGGAGUCCCGAGGAUGAUGUUAUAAGCUGCGGGCUUAUCGAAGACGACGAAGUCCACGAUCUUCGAUACCUUCUUGGCAAGGACCGGUAGCUUGAUUGUUCCGAGAGACAUGGCUGACUCGCUUGUGAACGCAACUAAUGGAGACGGAGGUCCUACUAUGUCUCCUCGGCUGAUUCCCAUUUUUUCUAGAGUACUUAAAAAGAUCAAGUCGACCGAACUGCCUGUAUCUAUAAGGAUCCUUGAUACUUCGAAGUUUGCGACAUCAAGAGUAAUGACUAGAGCAUCGUCAUGCCGUCUUUCGAGAUGCCGCGUUUCUUCUUCGUUAAAUGAUAUUGAAGCACCUUGAAAAUCAAUUUCUUCGCUCAAACUUGCUUUGAGUAAGACAUUUCGCCUAUGCUUUUUGAUGGAACUUAUUGAAUCUCCGCAAAAUCUGGAACCUCCUAGAAUCACAUUGAUCUUACCCUUCGAACUCCUUGGUUCUUCCUCGUUGGAUAACCUUGGUCUUUUGGAAUCUUGAUCUUUGGAGUUUUCUUUUGCUUCGUGGUAUUCCUUCACAAAAUCUUUUAUAUCGAAUUUAGAAAGAUCGCCACUAGCCCAAAGCUCUGCGAGGUGCUUUUUAAGAACGCUGCAAUCCUUGGUUAAAUGUCCGGUUACUUUAUGAAUGUCGCAAUACAGACUUUCAUCACGGACCCAAGUGUUUGAUCUUCCUUUCCCUUGGAAUUGCUUCCCGACGGAAUUGUUGAAGGGUUGCGACCCAAACUUCUUUGGUCCUUUGCUCUCUCUAGGCUCGAACUUCUUGGUAGGGACGGUGAUUGCCGGCUUUUCUUGUUUAUUCCGUUUGGCAAAACUUUCUUUUUCGUCUUCUACCUCCAUCCAAUUGUUUGCGCGGAAGAGUGCAUCCUGAAUUGUGUCUGGUUUAUGAAGUAUUAAGUCUUCUUUAAACCUUGAAUCGUGUCGCAAUCCUUUUCGUAGGGCAGAUAAAGCUGAUUGCUGUGAGAUUCUUGGGAGUUUUGACAGCACUCCUUUGAAUUUGGUGAUGAAAACUCGAAGUGACUCAUUAGAUCCUUGCGUUAAGUUCCAAAGAUCGGCAUCCGAAACGCUUUUAUCCAUAAGGAUAGAGUAUUGCUUUAAGAACACGGCUGAUAGUUCGUCGAAAUUGCUGAUCGAACCCGGCUCUAAUUGGGUGAACCACAUUAGAGCUUGGCCACAUAGAUUCUCCGAAAAUAGCUUGCAAUAGCCUGCGUCCUCAUCAGCUUCAUCCAAUUCGACUCUUCCUGCGGCGAUCAGAAAGGCUGCGAGAUAGCUUUUUGGAUCUUCCAAUCCGCUGUAAGGGUCCAAUUUGAGUUUCCGGGAAUCUUUGAUCCUUAAACUCGCGAUUCGCGGGAUGAAAGGUGUUCGCCUAGCUUCUUCAAUGACUCGAUUGAUGUCUGGCUCCGAACUUGUAGCCUGGUGAAAUUUUGAUUUCAUUUCUUUUAAUUCCUGGCUAACCUUCCUCAUGGUCUCGAACUGGUCGAGGUUCUCCUGCUCGUACUGAGCUGCAAGUUGUUCUUCAUCCCCGAGUUGCGUCUCUUCUUCCGACGUCUGAGCUACAUUAUUAGUAGCACCGGGAGUUGUUUGUCCGCUGGUUUCAUUUCGUGCAGCGGAACUUGGCGAGUUGAAUAUCCCUCUUCGGAUUCCCACCGGGUUUCCUGCACUUAAAGAGCGAACACGAGUUUGUAUAGUAUUGACGUUUUGACUAAGAGAUACCUGGGAUGUUUGAAAUGUAUCGACGGCCUUUUCCACGUCCGAGAACUUUUGUGAUAUGUCCGCCAUGGUUUGCUGCAUAGCUUUGAGGGUUUCGGCCAAUGAUGUCUCAGCGGCAUCUCUUCCGGACAUUGUUGCUUAUCUCGGAAGUGUGAUAAAGAAAAAAUCUGACCACUCAAGAACCUAAUAUCCCCACAGACGGCGCCAAAAUGUGGAUGUCGGAUUCACACACUCAAGUAUUUUGUUUAAGUGGGAAAGAUUAUUCUUGAGGGACAAAAAUGAAUAUGUAAAAACUUAUAAAUUGAUACGAAAACUGCUAUAGUAUUUCUCUCUUGAGAGGAAGAUCCCCUUUACAUGGCCAUUGGCCUCUAUAUUUAUACACCGAUAAACGACAUUAAAAUGAGUAAUUAAGCACAAUUAUUUCUUCUUAAAUGUGUCCGUUUUGAUUCUUCGGCUUUAAUGCUCAACGUUUGAAUUUGAGUUGACUCUGAUCUUCAUGGGCCUCGCCUCUUUCGGCCCAAGUGUCCUUGAACCGACUUACCCGUGUCUUCUACACCGAACUCGUGUCAUAGUGCAGUCACUUCGGAUUCUCGAAAUGGUGACAACCACUUCGACCGUUCCUUCGGCUCACGGGUCCAAUGGGCUCCAUCCUUUAUGGGUCAUUAUCUUGAUCACGUGGCAAUCUUUGGUUGGUCUCGUACUUCUGGUGCGGGAUCCGACACCAACAUAAGGUAUUCAAAAAGAACUUCUCCAAAGAUUUGAAUACCGGAAACUUAUUAGAUAAGGUGGCAUAAGACUAGAUCU
rnacentral:lncRNA from 1 species